AUUGCUAAGAAGCCUCGAACACCAACCUCGGGUCCAGUGAUCACGAAGCUGAUUUUUGCAAAACCAAUUAAUAGUAAAGCAGUUACGGGACAGACAACUCAAGCGUCUCCACCCGUCGUCACAGGCAGGGUUCUUUCACAGUCUGCUCCUGGAACUCCAUCCAAGACUAUAACAAUAUCAGAAAGUGGUGUUAUUGGCUCAACUUUAAAUUCUACAACACAGACACCAAAUAAGAUAGCCAUCUCACCUUUGAAGUCACCAAAUAAGACAGUGAAGUCGGCUGUGCAGACCAUCACGGUGGGCGGAAUGAGCACGUCGCAGUUUAAGACCAUCAUUCCCCUGGCAGCUGCUCCCAAUGUCCAGCCCAUUCAAGUGCCUGGAAGCAAGUUUCAUUAUGUCCGACUCGUCACUGCCACAACCGCCGGUAGCUCAGCCCCACCAGUCAGUCAGAGUCCCAGUGUCAACACUCAGCCUCUUCAGCAAGGUUUGUGACCGUUCUUUCCACAGUGAUGGGUGCGUUUAGCGUCGUUAAAGAACAUUGCUGCUGCUCAUUUUUCACUCUGGGCUUUCUUUGACAGUAUGGAUGAGUAGUGGUUACAGAAGACAUAGAAGUCAGAUCACAGUUGUAUGUAACUACGAUUUAUUCUAUUUAUUAACUCAAUAAUACCAGGUGAUUGUCAGUAUUGGUUAACUGGGUAGCUGUUUUACUGCUGAAAUCCCCACUGUUUAUCUCAAUGGGACAGAUUCAGUUGGAACCAAAUGAUUUAAAAUUAUAAUUGGGGGUUGGGGAUUUAGCUCAGUGGUAGAGCGCUUGCUAGGCCCUGGGUUCGGUCCCCAGCUCCGAAAAAAAGAAAAAAAA
rnacentral:lncRNA from 1 species